rnacentral:rRNA from 1 species
AGUGUCCUACGGGGGGCAGCAGUAGGGAAUCUUCCACAAUGGGCGAAAGCCUGAUGGAGCAACGCCGCGUGGGUGAAGAAGGUCUUCGGAUCGUAAAACCCUGUUGUUAGAGAAGAAAGUGCGUGAGAGUAACUGUUCACAUUUCGACGGUAUCUAACCAGAAAGCCACGGCUAACUACGUGCCAGCAGCCGCGGUAAUACGUAGGUGGCAAGCGUUAUCCGGAUUUACUGGGCGUAAAGAGAACGCAGGAGGUCUUUUAAGUAUGAUGUGAAAGCCUUCGGCUUAACCGGAGGA